CUUCCGGGCCCCCCCUUAUAUUCCUACUUGUUCUUAUUUCUUGUUUUUCCAUCUCUUUGAAAUUUUCACAGACCUAAUACUCUUUCAUUUGGGAUUCAGUUGGAUGUAACUUUCUAGCUACUUCUAUGGGCUUUUUUUCUCCUCGUUUUCUUAGAGGGGUACAGUUUAUGUGACUACGUUUGGAUUUUUUAAAUAUUAUCUCAAAUACAAUACUUGAUAACACCCUUAAUUGUGCUUCAGUUAAUAUCAUCCACUUUUUUUUUUUUUAAGUUUAUUUAUUCUGAGAGAGACAGAGAGUGAGCAGGGGCGGGGCGGAGAGACAGGGAGACAGAAGGAAUCCCAAGCGGGCUCCACACUGUCAGCGCGGAGCCCGAGGCGGGACUGGAACUCACGAACCGUGAGAUCAUGACCUGAGCUGAAACCAAGAGCCAGACACUUAAUCGACUGAGCCCCCCAGACGCUUCAGUCCAUUUGCUUUUUACCAGCCUGAGCCUGGGUACCUCGCUGUCUGUUGGACUCCUGCUUUUCGGUAGAAUUAGCCUGCUCUCACGAACUAACUUAUCCUGGAGGACCAAGGCCAAGGAGUCGAGGUAUUUGCAGCAUGCCCAGAAUAUUUUGACACGCAUCCGAAAGCAGAAGUGUAAACCGGGAAGGAUUUGUGCUGGAUUCGCUCGUCUUGAGAGGCAGCCCAGUGUGCUGCCCGUGUGGGAUAGAUCGAUCUGUGCGUUGGAGAUGUAAAGAGGGAGAGAGAGGAACCCGUCCUGGGCGGUUCUCAAUUCCAGCGGUGGAGGCAGGACAUGAACAGAAACCAGCAUCAAACGUUUGUUUCAGAGCAAGACGGUGUGUAAGUCAGAGGAGAAGGAAUCCCGAAGCAAAGCAUACCUUCGCCGCUUACGUCCCACGUAUUCUGCUUCUCUGGCCAACAUGGACUUCUCCAGGAGAACCCCACACGCUGAGCAUGCCUCACCCCAGGCCACCACGGAUGUUUCCCAUGAAGCGGUUUAACAGACGCCCCGCCCGCCCGACUGGAAGAAUCCUGUAGAUUUCUUGCAGCAAAGGAGUGAGUUUCUGGUUGUUUGCAGGGAGGAGCGUCUCCCUUUUAGGGGCCAAUUCAGCUCCGGCCAUUAGCAUUUGAAUCGGUCUACCAGGCUGUUUUGAUUGAAGAGAGAAACACAGCCUUUGUUGCUGUGAUUUAGGGGCGUAAGUAAUUUUCCAACCCCCUUUAAUCAGUUCACACAGUUG
rnacentral:lncRNA from 1 species